rnacentral:rRNA from 1 species
UACGAAGGGAGCUAGCGUUGUUCGGAAUCACUGGGCGUAAAGCGCACGUAGGCGGAUUUGUAAGUCAGGGGUGAAAUCCCGGGGCUCAACCUCGGAACUGCCUUUGAUACUGCAAGUCUCGAGUCCGGAAGAGGUGGGUGGAAUUCCUAGUGUAGAGGUGAAAUUCGUAGAUAUUAGGAAGAACACCGGUGGCGAAGGCGGCCCACUGGUCCGGUACUGACGCUGAGGUGCGAAAGCGUGGGGAGCAAACAGG